UCCCUGGUGGUCCAGGGGUUAAGACUCAGCACUUGCACUGCCAUGGCCCAGGUUCAAACCCUGGUCAGGGAA